UAAUAAAUGUGACUUUGAAGAAAUAAAUGGUAAAACUUUCCAUUUGAAACAAAUGCUCUUAUUGUGUUGUCAAAAAAGUGGUCAAUAUUGAUGGUUUUUGCAAUU